GGGGGCGUACUGGUUUCGACGGGGAUAGUGAAGCAGGAUUAGCGAGCGGCGGCGCCUGACCGCCAUAAAACGGGCAAUUAUAAAUCAAAUAACAACGACAAUUACGUUGCUGUCGCUGCCUGAUUAGGCGCGACCGUCCCGACCGGAAGGGCCACGAGCCGGCUUCGGGGCGUGACUUGAGUGGCGAACGUGCGUACGGUAAGCUUUGCCCGUGCCAUGCAUGAUGAAGCUACUGAUUGCUGUAGUGUGACGGCUCACGCCAGCAUGAGGGAAUGUAAAUAACCGUCUGCGCUCGGAGAAGGUCUUGUGAAUCUGUUUUCGGACGCGGGUUCGAUUCCCGCCGCCUCCAU
rnacentral:sRNA from 1 species